rnacentral:rRNA from 1 species
UACGUAGGGUGCAAGCGUUGUCCGGAAUUAUUGGGCGUAAAGAGCUCGUAGGCGGUCUGUCGCGUCUGCUGUGAAAGCCUGGGGCUUAACCCCGGGCCUGCAGUGGGUACGGGCAGACUAGAGUGCGGUAGGGGAGACUGGAAUUCCUGGUGUAGCGGUGAAAUGCGCAGAUAUCAGGAGGAACACCGGUGGCGAAGGCGGGUCUCUGGGCCGUAACUGACGCUGAGGAGCGAAAGCAUGGGGAGCGAACAGG